rnacentral:rRNA from 1 species
AUUAAAUUGAUAAGUUUAUCUUAUUAAUUUUUUUAUUAAAUUAUUAAGUUAAUAAAAAUAAUUUUAUAGUAAUAGUUUUUGUAAUUUUUAUAGAUUAAAUAAUUUUUAUUGUAGUGUAUUAGUAUUGUGAAAGAAUGAUGAAAUAAAUUGAAAAUUUAUUAAUAAAAAAGAAAAUUUAGUUUAUUGUACCUUGUGUAUCAGGGUUUAUUAAUUAAAAAGUAUAUAUUAUAUUUUUCUCGAAUUUAAGAGAGCUAAUUAAUUAUAUUAGUUAUUGUAGCAUAAAUAUUAAUAAUUAUUAAUUAGAAAUGAAAUGUUAUUCGUUCUUAAAUAUAUCUAGUUUUUUAAGAAAUAAAUUUAAUUUAUAUAUUUUUAAUUGUAAUGAUUUAAUUAAUAAAUUUAUUAUUUAAUAAUAUAAAUAUUUUAAGGGAUAAGCUUUAAGAUAAAUUUUUAUAAAAUUAUUUUAAAUAAAAUAAUUAUAGGUUUAGAAAUAGCCAUUAAUAGUAAAUAUGUUAUAAUAUAUUUUUUAUAAAUAUUAUUUAUUUAAUUUUUAAAUUUUUAUUAAAAUAUUAAUUUUAAUAAAUAAAAUUAAGUAAUAAUGAUAAAAUUAGUAUAUUAAAGUUUAUAAAUAAAUAUAGAUGAAAGGUUUUAUAAAGGAACUCGGCAAAUUAAAUAUUCGCCUGUUUAUCAAAAACAUGUCUUUUUGAAUUUAUUUAAAGUCUAGCCUGCCCACUGAUUUUUUUAAAGGGCCGCGGUAUUUUGACCGUGCAAAGGUAGCAUAAUCAUUAGUUUUUUAAUUGAAAGCUUGUAUGAAUGGUUGGACGAAAUAUUGACUGUCUUUAUAAAAUUUAUAAUAAAAUUUAACUUUUUUGUUAAAAGGCAAAAAUUAAUUUAAAGGACGAGAAGACCCCAUAGAGCUUUAUAUUUUUAUAAUAUAAUUUAUAAAGAAUUAUUAAAGUUAUAUUAAAAAAAGUAUUUUGUUGGGGUGACAGUAAAAUUUAUUAAACUUUUAUUAUUAUAUAACAUUGAUUUAUGAAUAUUUGAUCCUAGUUAUAUUGAUUAAAAGAUUAAGUUACCUUGGGGAUAACAGCGUAAUUUUUUUAAAGAGUUCAUAUCGAAAAAAAAGAUUGCGACCUCGAUGUUGGAUUAAGAGUAAUUUUAGGUGUAGAAGUUUAAAGUAUUGGGUCUGUUCGACCCUUAAAUUCUUACAUGAUCUGAGUUCAAACCGGCGUAAGCCAGGUUGGUUUCUAUCCUUAAUAAAUUGAAAUAUUUUAGUACGAAAGGACCAAAUAUUUGAUAUUUUAAUAUUUAGAUUUUUGAAUAUAAUUAAUUU